CUACAUUCUCUCACUAAAACUCAUUUUCGCUCUAUAAACUUAAAUUUUCAAGGCCAUUUUCAUCUUUUUUUUCUAUUGGAUUUGGACCUUGCCAUAGAAAACAAAACUUACAAGCUCGACGAGGGCUUCGAAUUGAGCGGAGUCGAUCUUCAAUUGGAGCACUUUGGGUUUUUGAAUUCUUGGGCUGAUUUGGGGCUUUUUUUUCUUUGAAUUGAAGUGACUUCUUUGAUUUUGGUUUAAUUGCCAAAAAGAAAUAAAAAUAAGGUUUUAAGGGUUUUUGAAGAACAAGUUAUAUCGGGCCUAAAUAUCAAGUGGUUUUCAAGAAGAGAUAGCCCAAAUAUGCAACUGCAAAAGAGAAGAAAAAAGCCAAGUAUCAUCACUUCGCGUCCGAACGUCAGCUCUCGCGUCCGGACGCCAUUUAGUAGACCUCGCGUCCAAAUGCCAUGCUUCGCAUCCGAACGCCAGCCUAUGGGCCCCCAUUUUGAAUAAGUCAAAGUUUGUUCCCUUUUAAGUGGGACUUUGAAUUUUGACGAGUUUGGUUGUUUUGAAACUCAUUUUUUGGAUUAAGAGGGGGCAAAAACUUAAAUUUAAUUAAUUAGUUUUGGAUUCUAAAAAGAUAUUGAGAGAGAGAUGAUUUUCCUUAAGGUUUUUCUAUACUAGUUUUUGCAACAAUGGGGCGGUAAGGAAAAUCUUUCUCUUCUUCAAUCAUUGAAGUUGCUACUAUGUCCAUGAGGAACUAACUCCCUUCCUAGGGAUUUGAUGUAACCUAGACCAAGUAAAUAUGUUGUAAUUGCUAUUUCAAUUUGGAAAUUCAUCUUGUAUAUAUUUGAUUUCAUAAAUUAGAAAUUGUUUACAUUGAA